UACGUAGGUGGCAAGCGUUGUCCGGAAUUAUUGGGCGUAAAGCGCGCGCAGGCGGUCUCUUAAGUCUGAUGUGAAAGCCCACGGCUCAACCGUGGAGGGUCAUUGGAAACUGGGAGACUUGAGUGCAGAAGAGGAGAGCGGAAUUCCACGUGUAGCGGUGAAAUGCGUAGAGGAUGUGGAGGAACACCAGUGGCGAAGGCGGCUCUCUGGUCUGUAACUGACGCUGAGGCGCGAAAGCGUGGGGAGGCGAACAGG
rnacentral:rRNA from 1 species